GCGAACGCAAUGAGAAAGACAAGUAAUCGUAUGUGCGCCUAAAAGCGAGCUCUGGUCGGUGAAAGAGAGCAGGUCAGCCUUACGAUGAAAAAUCACUUUCGAGCGUUGUAUCGAACGAACUUCUAGUAGAUACUCUGGGUACACCCAUUACAGUGUUAGCAUAUCGCCCUUUAUUCUAGGCACGGGCCGUAUGUGAAAGGUGAACGUAGCGAGGCGUUCAUGAAGCAAGGUGGUACCACGCUCUACAGGCGUCCUUGGA
rnacentral:ncRNA from 1 species